rnacentral:rRNA from 1 species
AUUGAACGCUGGCGGCAGGCCUAACACAUGCAAGUCGAGCGGAUGAAGGGAGCUUGCUCCUGGAUUCAGCGGCGGACGGGUGAGUAAUGCCUAGGAAUCUGCCUGGUAGUGGGGGAUAACGUCCGGAAACGGGCGCUAAUACCGCAUACGUCCUGAGGGAGAAAGUGGGGGAUCUUCGGACCUCACGCUAUCAGAUGAGCCUAGGUCGGAUUAGCUAGUUGGUGGGGUAAAGGCCUACCAAGGCGACGAUCCGUAACUGGUCUGAGAGGAUGAUCAGUCACACUGGAACUGAGACACGGUCCAGACCCCUACGGGAGGCAGCAGUGGGGAAUAUUGGACAAUGGGCGAAAGCCUGAUCCAGCCAUGCUGCGUGUGUGAAGAAGGUCUUCGGAUUGUAAAGCACUUUAAGUUGGGAGGAAGGGCAGUAAGUUAAUACCUUGCUGUUUUGACGUUACCAACAGAAUAAGCACCGGCUAACUUCGUG